GUAUUAACUGCCCUAGGAAGAGUUUAAUGCCUACUCAGUUUUGGCCACAGCAAAGGAAGGUGAGCCCAAACCACUGCAGGAAUUACCAUUUUCCCUUGAGCAAUAGGGGAACUGGGCCCUUGGAAAAUGCUCAUAGCUCCAGGAGCCAGAAAUCUGCACGGAUUCAUGGCACAGGUGUGUUUCACAAAUCUCAGCUGCUCCCCUAACCACGUCCAAUAGUCUUAGGCGGACCCUAGUAAGACUACAGCUGUUAGGUCCCCCUGACAUUAUUGUAGGGGGUUAGGGAGCAGCUGAGCUGUCCUCGGGUCCCCCAAAGGAUGAUGCCGGCUCUGCAGAGUUUCGUCCUAGCUGGAGAAGGAAGCGACGUGUUCCAGGGGAGAAACGGAAGGAGGAGGAAGGAACUCGGCCUUCCUACCCUGGAAGACAGGCAGCAAGAGGGUCGGCUGUAGGUGUAAUAGACUUGGACUGCUGACUUGGCGUCUUGCUGCCCGGUAAAAGCUGCUUGUGCUUGGAGGAGUGGACGCUUCCUACAGUCUUGGUAGCUGCGGGGGAGCCCUCCUGAGAUUGAGAGCCAGCUUUGGCGAGACUGGGAUU